AAUGAACGCUGGCGGCAUGCCUAACACAUGCAAGUCGAACGAAGGCUUCGGCCUUAGUGGCGCACGGGUGCGUAACGCGUGGGAAUCUGCCCUCAGGUUCGGAAUAACAGCGAGAAAUUGCUGCUAACACCGGAUGAUAUCGCGAGAUCAAAGAUUUAUCGCCUGAGGAUGAGCCCGCGUAGGAUUAGCUAGUUGGUGUGGUAAAGGCGCACCAAGGCGACGAUCCUUAGCUGGUCUGAGAGGAUGAUCAGCCACACUGGGACUGAGACACGGCCCAGACUCCUACGGGAGGCAGCAGUGGGGAAUAUUGGACAAUGGGCGAAAGCCUGAUCCAGCAAUGCCGCGUGAGUGAUGAAGGCCUUAGGGUUGUAAAGCUCUUUUACCCGGGAUGAUAAUGACAGUACCGGGAGAAUAAGCUCCGGCUAACUCCGUGCCAGCAGCCGCCGUAA
rnacentral:rRNA from 1 species